CACAAUUUAAUUAUAUAUAUAUUUUUUUGUUUUUAUAACUGAUAGGUUGUCAUGCAGAUUGAUUGAAAUCCAACUAUUUUUAUCUACGGGUACCACAAUGUUUGUUGGAAUAUCAUUGGCAUGUAUAAGCUGAUUACAGAAUGAAUUUAAUCAUAAAAAAAUUGCAGAAGAAGAAGAAGAUAAAGAGGACAUUUUGUAAUUUUACAGACGGUAGAAUAUACUUUGUUUAUAAAACGACAGCUCAACAACGAGUUGGCAUCGUGCUUCAUGGGUCAUGAAUUGAAUGGCGAGUGCCAACGGGUAUGACGUAUAAAUGGAAAGGCGAGCAUUUUGUUGGAACACCUGCUGCUAGUAAAUCAAUAACAGAUAUGCUGUGUAAUUUGAGUUUGAGGACACCAAGAACGAAUGUUGUCAACGACAAGGGGAGGGUUAAAGUUUAAGUGGGAGUUUGUGAGGUUGAUAUCGUAACUCUAAAAGGUGGAAGUAAAGAGGAAUCGAGAGAGAAAGAGAUGCUUGAAGCCCUGUGGGUGCUGUAAGGUAAAUUCUCUUUGGCAUUAAUAGCUGUUAAAUAUUGGUUAUCCUCUCCAGGGAUCUACCUGAAACGCGGACGUAGCAUAAUUUUGUAAUCAUGGCGGCAAUGAUCCUGCUUCUACUCCUCUUACAAGAGCCAAUAAACUGUAUAUAUA